CAGGGGCCACUCACUGAUGAAAAGGUACAACUAAUGCUGUUGUUGGAGUCAGCCUGAGAUCAGAAUUCACACAGGUCCGAAGAAGGACACUCACUUUAUUGCCCCUCUACCUUGCAGUUCCUCACAAGGUUCUCCAGCGCUCUGGGCACAUGUGCUGUAUGACAUAAUGGAUUUGGUCAGGAUGAGCCUUUCUGGACCUUCACAUGUCCUUGGAGCCUGAUUUCUGCAGUUUUACUCCUUCCUGCUUUCCAACAACUCCUGCCCAGAAGGACUAAAGAUGCUCAGUACAAACCAUAUGUAUGAUUCACUACAGCUACUGGGAAAUUUUAAAUUGACAUGUGGCUCAUGUUAUAUCUCCAUUCGACAGAACUGAAAUAGAUACUAUGGACCCAAGCC
rnacentral:lncRNA from 1 species